rfam:Erinaceus europaeus cont1.200568, whole genome shotgun sequence.
AAAUAAAAAUCCACCCCUGCAUUAAGCACUUGAUGAUCGUUGAAGAAAGAAAGGACUUCACUUCUGCUACCUGAU